rnacentral:misc_RNA from 1 species
AUCAAUUCAUGAUUGUUCAAAUAGAACGAAAAAAUAUACAUCGUUUCAAACAUUGCAAAGCAUAAUCUCCUGUGACUAAAUGGCUGCACCGAGGCUCAAAAUAUUUUAGAUAAAUAUUAAACAAAAUCAGAAACUUUAUAUGAGAGUUUCUCUGGAGUAUGCUGUCUUUUUUAGCAAUUUGUUCCUAAAAAACAUGAAUAUUUUCUCUCAAAACCUUGAUUGAGUAUACAAACACCACUGCAAAAUGGAUGCAGAAAGUAGUAAGAGCCUGGUUUAGCUCUCUCCCCAAAAUCAUGUAUGGGAUUUUCCAUAGAGGUUUGCAUAGACAAUCUUAGUCCGAUGCACAAGAAUCAUGCU